AGGCUCAUAACUCACUGGUAGAACAUUUGCUUUGCAUCCAGAAGGUCCCAGGUUCAAUCCCUGGCAUCUCUA